GACGAACGCUGGCGGCGCGCUUAACACAUGCAAGUCGAACGGAAAGGCCUGCUUUCCCUUGUGGAUUGCGGGUACUCGAGUGGCGAACGGGUGAGUAACACGUGAGUGAUCUGCCCCCAACUUGGGUAUAAGCCUGGGAAACUGGGUCUAAUUCCCGAUAGGACUGCAGGGUGGUGCCUGUGGUGGAAAACGAUUUUCUAGUGGUUGGGGAUGAGCUCGCGGCCUGUCAGCUUGUUGGUGGGGUAAUGGCCUACCAAGGCGGCGACGGGUAGCCGGCCUGAGAGGGUGGACGGCCACAUUGGGACUGAGAUACGGCCCAGACUCCUACGGGAGGCAGCAGUGGGGAAUAUUGCACAAUGGGCGGAAGCCUGAUGCAGCGACGCCGCGUGGGGGAUGACGGCCUUCGGGUUGUAAACUCCUUUCGACCGCGAGGAAGCCACCUGGUUGGAAGGGUGGUGACGGUGGUGGUAGAAGAAGCACCGGCUAACUACGUG
rnacentral:rRNA from 1 species